ensembl:lncRNA
CUCAUUAAAACAGUGCUUGCUAUGCUUCUUACCUUCCUUUUAACUGUCAAAAUUGUAAUCUGUAAGAAACUUUCCUCAGCUAGUAAAAUCCUCUAAUUUCAGCAGAGAAUGCAACAACAGAAUGUGGCAAAUCCUCCUCUUCUGUUGUAGAGAUUUUCAGUGAAAAUUCCCAGCCUUCUCUGACUUACAGUGUCUUGGGUAUUCUCACUGGGAGGAGUAAGCACUUUCAGGUGGGGCUGAGACUGCAGGUACUGUUCACAAAGAACCUGAAGAUAAGUAGCAAUGUUUGUCUGUUGCUGAGAGGUGUUGUGAGGUUUUGUGGACAUUCUGUGCUGAGAAAAUGCAAACACCAUAAAAUAUAGGAAGCCAGACUGUCAAACAAGGGACAAUCAAACUAAACAACCUGUUCUCCGUUCAAGCAUUCCGUUGUGCUAACAGCUACUGGCAGUGAGUAUGCACCUGUGCUCUUGGUGAAAAUGAAGGGACCUGUAUGAGACUGAAGCUAUUAACAUAGGUCCUGUUGCUGCCAGCAGGAGUAAAGAUGGACACUUGCCACUCCAACUUGAGAUGAGACCACUUCAUUGUCAUGAUUUCCCUGUUUGGUGUGAUGAGAGAAGAAGCCGUUUGCUGGCCAGGGGGUUACAAGUGUGGUCUGAUGAACAGUACAGAAAAAAAAUGCUGGCCACAGGGCUUGGGGGCACAGCUGCACUGGUAGAACCACUGCCAACAUCUUCCUGGCAUGUCCUGCUGUGCUAUCUUCUGCCCCCCAACUGCUCACCACCAGCUCACUUUCCUUCCAGGAGAGCAACGGCUGAAGGCCUACAGCUGUCCAUGGGGAGACAGGUAAU